GAUGAACGCUGGCGGCGUGCCUAAUACAUGCAAGUCGAGCGAAUGGAUUAAGAGCUUGCUCUUAUGAAGUUAGCGGCGGACGGGUGAGUAACACGUGGGUAACCUGCCCAUAAGACUGGGAUCACUCCGGGAAACCGGGGCUAAUACCGGAUAACAUUUCGAACCGCAUGGCUCGAAAUGGACAGGCGGCUUCGGCUGUCACUUAUGGAUGGACCCGCGUCGCAUUAGCGAGUUGGUGAGGUAACGGCACACCAAGGCAACGAGGCGUAGCCGACCUGGGAGGGUGAUCGGCAACACUGGGACUGAGACACGGCCCAGACUCCUACGGGAGGCAGCAGUAGGGAAUCUUCCGCAAUGGACGAAAGUCUGACGGAGCAACGCCGCGUGAGUGAUGAAGGCUUUCGGGUCGUAAAACUCUGUUGUUAGGGAAGAACAAGUGCUAGUUGAAUAAGCUGGCACCUUGACGGUACCUAACCAGAAAGCCACGGCUAACUACGUGCCAGCCGCCGCAGUAA
rnacentral:rRNA from 1 species